UACGUAGGGUGCGAGCGUUAAUCGGAAUUACUGGGCGUAAAGCGUGCGCAGGCGGUUACUUAAGUCAGGUGUGAAAGCCCUGGGCUUAACCUAGGAAUUGCGCUUGAGACUGGGUAGCUUUGGGUGUGGCAGAGGGAGGUGGAAUUCCACGUGUAGCAGUGAAAUGCGUAGAGAUGUGGAGGAACACCGAUGGCGAAGGCGGCGUCCUGGACCAACACUGACACUGAGGAGCGAAAGCCAGGGGAGCAAACGGG
rnacentral:rRNA from 1 species